ACUCCUCACACUCAGUAAAAGGGACCAGGUGGCUGGGUUGGGUGACGUGAUUGAGCGGAUUGACAGCAGAACCAGAAGUCCACCUAGCAAGACAGAUCCUGUUGUUUAUCUUCUCCUGGAAACCAGGCUGAGCCAAGCGUUGUCCAGCCCCACUGCUCCUGAGGACCGACGCACCCGGAAGCUGCCCUUAGGGAGUGGAUCUUCGCUGCUCCGUGAGGCGCUGGCAGGUGCUCACCGUGAGGCACCUUAGAGGGGCCUGGAUUUCAGACGGACCCAAGCACUCAGUCUCUGAACAUAAGGCCCUUGCAAGGAAACAGGAUCGGACUUUACCAACCCCAACAAUAACAGCUCCAGCCCAUCUCCACUCAUGUUUCUUCUCUUUCCCCUGUUAUCAUCUUUAAUACCAUCUGAGAGACUGUCGAACAGGGGAGCCUCUGUCUAAAAACUCGCUACAGCAAAAGGGAAAGGAAAUAAGGGAUAGUGUGAAAAUGAAAGGCUUAUUUAAUAUUUUACAUUGCA